CUUUACAGUACUGUAACAACAUCUCUUCAGUCCUCAACAUGUCAACCAAACAUGCACAAUCAGUGCAUACAGAGCUACACAGAACUGUAGAGAGGAGAGAGGACAGACAGUGGAGAGGUGAGACAGUGGAGAGGACAGACAGCAGAAACAGCAGGGAGGAGAGACAGAGAAGAGAGACAGGAGAGGAGAGACAGAGAAGAGAAACAGAGGAGAAGAGAGACAGAGAAAAGAGAGAGAGGAGAGACAGCAGAGAGGAGAGACAGCAGAGAGUAAAGACAGAGGAGAAGAGACAGCAGAGGAGAGACAGAGGAGGAGACAGCAGAGAGACAGAGGAGAAGAGGAGAGACAGCAGAGAGGAGAGACAGCGGAAAGGACAGACAGCAGAGAGGAGAGACAGCAGAGAGGAGAGAGGACAGACAGCGGAGAGGACAGAUAGCAGAGAGGACAGACAGUAGAGAGGACAGACAGUAGAAAGAGUAGAGAGGAGAGACAGCAGAGAGAAGAGACAGCAGAGAGGAGAGAGGACAGACAGCGGAGAGGACAGAUAGCAGAGAGGACAGACAGUAGAGAGGACAGACAGUAGAAAGAGUAGAGAGGAGAGACAGCAGAGAGAAGAGACAGUAGAGAGGAGAGACAGCAGAAAGGAGAGACAGAGAAGAGACAGAUGAGAGGAGAGACAACAGAGAGGAGAGACAGAGAAGAGGAGAGACAGCAGAGAGGUGAGACAACAGGGAUAUCGGAGAAGAGAGACAGCAGAGAGUAAAGACAGAGGAGAAGGAGAGAAAGAGGAGAGAGAGGAGAAGAGGAGAGACGUAGAGAGGAGAGACAGAGGAGAAGAGGAGAGACGGCAGAGAGGAGAGACAGCAGAGAGGAGAGACAGGAGGAGAGAGGGAGAGACAGGAGAAAAAAGGAGAGACAGUAGAGAGGAGAGACAGGAGAAAAAAGGAGAGACAGUAGAGAGGAGAGACAGUAGAGAGGAGAGACAGCAGAAAGGAGAGACAGAGAAGAGACAGAUGAGAGGAGAGACAACAGAGAGGAGAGACAGAGAAGAGGAGAGACAGCAGAGAGGUGAGACAGCGGAAAGGACAGAGGAGAGACAGCAGAGAGAACAGACCGCAGAGAGGCGAGACAGUAGAGAGGAGAGACGACAGGGACAGUGGAGAGGAGAGACAGAGAAGAGGAGAGACAGCAGAGAGGAGAGACAGAGAAGAGAGACAGAUGAGAGGAGAGACAGAGAAGAGGAGAGACAGCAGAGAGAAGAGACAACAGGGACAGCGGAGAGGAGAGACAGCAGAGAGGUGAGACAGCGGAAAGGACAGAGAGGAGAGACAGCAGAGAGGAGAGACAGCAGAGCGGAGUUGAUGUCUGAGUGGAUGCUGGUACACACUUCCUGACUUUUGCG
ensembl:lncRNA